UACGAAGGGGACUAGCGUUGUUCGGAUUUACUGGGCGUAAAGCGCGCGUAGGCGGAUCGCUAAGUCAGGGGUGAAAUCCCAGGGCUCAACCCUGGAACUGCCUUUGAUACUGACGGUCUGGAGAUCGGGAGAGGUUGGUGGAAUUCCGAGUGUAGAGGUGAAAUUCGUAGAUAUUCGGAGGAACACCAGAAGCGAAGGCGGCCAAC
rnacentral:rRNA from 1 species